CAGCAGAAACAAUCACACUAUCAGUAGUAUCUAGAGUGGGUUUUCAAGACAUUCAAUGACCGCAGUUUAAGAAAGCAAGCAAACCAAAAGAGUAGAUAGCACGAGAGAAUCUCUGAGAUGGAGAUCUUUGUCAAUAGAAAAGCUAAGAAGAAAGCCCAGCUCCUCCUGGUCCUGGGCUGUCACCUAAAUCACCUAUAUAUGAAGCGUACGUACUUGUCGAAACCGUGACAUGCCUUGUAUGUGUUAGGCAUGCCACCUUCCUUCUUCUUCUGAUGCCGUCCUCUAAAUUCAGUCCGAUCUGAAAUUAUCCAAAUCAGAGAGAUAUGAGUUUCCAUAAACAAAAUUAG